CACACACACACACACACACACACACACACACACACACACACACACACACACACACACCUGUUAGCAUUUCUAGAACAACCCAUUUUCUAGCUUGACUAUUCAAAUGUUUGCCCAAUGCACUGUAAAUAAUGUUUCAUAUUAAAAGUGAAACAUUUCAUUUAAAAGGGCAACAUGAUCAUUUUAUAUAGUAUGUGUUUAUAUGUGUUAAAGACUUAAUUUUCGCUUGAGGUAACAGCUGUGAUGAGGUGUGAUUAGGGGUGAAUGCAGCGAAAACUUUACAUCAAAUGGAAAACCGAUUGCUCCCACAUGAUAUUUUAUAAACUGCAUGUAUUACAAAGAACUGCACAGAUGUAGAUAUCUUAAAAAUCUAUCGAUAAACACACACCUUUUCCUCUGUUCCUCGCUCUGCAGAAUGUGGACUGAAGAACACGCUGAAAGACGGGAAGGAGCUGCCAUUUUCAUAUGGAGUUUAAAGGGGACUGAGGCAAUCACAAAUUUGUGUACAGUUUUUUGAGCUAACUGCAAAAUGUUUAGGUGGGCUAUAGCCUCCAAAAAAAGGCCUAGUGACGCCUAUUAUCAUAUGCAUCACAAAAAGAUGUUUUUUGACUCAUGCAUUCCAAAGAGGAAAGUUUUCUACUGUAUGCCUUCUGGGGUAAAUAAAAACAGGUGGAACACAAGAAUUCAAACACAGGCAAACAAACAAACAAACAAACUCUGUAGUAGAAUCCACACCUUAGUAUGAGCUCCCAGUGAGUGUGGAGGAGGAGAAGGUGAGGAGAGAAUUGAAAGGAAAAUGAGCCGGACAGAACCAGUGAACGUCUCCUGUGAGUCACCACGGAGAUAUAUUGGUGGUAAGCAAAAGAAACCAAGAAAGAUCAGACCCAAAAUACCCAGCGAACCAGCAAAUUCUUAUUCUUCUUACACACAGUGGCAACAAAUCACACCCCUAAGACUGAUGAGGUCAAAGCCACUUUCAUUCCACUUCACCAGGCACAUGCACACAUAAACAUCAAAGGGGUUUGAGCACCUGCCCGUUUCUACCUCGAGAGAAAGUGUUCUUUUGUCUGAGGUGAUUAUUAUUAUUAUUAUUUUUUUUUUAUAUAAAUUAAUAUAUGUCUAUGCUUCUGUUCGCACACAGCUUUCCCUGUCAAACAAAUAAAAAAUCUAACGUUCUGGGAAACGGACUGGGAAAUGUUCCGAUGCCUUUCUCCCCUCUGCAUCUCUGCAGCACAGCAGUGUAGCACACAUUGAUCAGAACAUAACAGUCACAGACAGACAGAGCAGCGGAAGUGAAGCCCUCCCUCCCUUUCCUGUUGUGUUUGUCUUGCUGUGGAGGUGAGUGGUGAUAUGCAAAAGACAGAAGGCAAAUAUAGUUACUUUGUCUUGCUACCUAGCUACCAUAUAUGUUAGCUAAAGUUUAAGGCAAUAGGAAGUCUAGGUUAGACCAGUGCACUUAUUUCACUGCAUGAUUCAGUUUGUUAAAAUGCUUUUAGAAUGAUCACAAAAUUCCAGACAUGGGUGCAGAAAUGUAUGUAUUUAUAUUUAGUUUCAUGCGAAGGCUGACAAUUUUUUUUUUUUUUUUUAUAUUCAAAGCGACUUACAAAAGAGGACAAUGGAAGCAAUCAAAAACAACAAAAGAGCAAUCAAUCGUUUAUAUGAUUUGGUUCAUACUCAAUGACUCACUUAUUAACAGUGACUUGCACCAUCUACUGGUGGUUUUAAUUCAAAACUGAAUGUAUAUUUUAUUUAUAUAUUUUAAUUAAUAUAUUUUAGAUAUCAGUAUUCAAGUUAUAUGCCAAAACAGUAUUAAUGCAUUUGUAACUGCAGGUUAAAUACAUCCUGCUUUAAACAGUGUGCAAAUACAUCUAAAUGCCCCUUCUAAUGUGUUUUCUCUGCAUUGCAAAGAUGAGUUUUGUCAGUACAGAUUUCAUUGGCUUGGUAAAAGCCCAAAUGUCUUAUUACUCUAAUUGACUGAAUAAAUUAAAAGACGAUGCACACUUUAGGGUUCUUUUUUCCUGUCCUUUUGUUUUUCAAUCUGUAACUGUCAAAGCACGUCAUUACUUAGUUUCUGGAGUUCAGUGAUCCAGAUACAGGCUGUCAGUACACUUUCAACAGGUUAAUUAUUUUUGAAUUCUUAAAUUUAAAUACAAAUGUAACAUUAAAUUUAUAUCUGGUUUUCAAACAAACAUUAUUUUCUCUUCUUUUUUGAUCACAUGUAAGAGUGAGCAGCUCUGGCUGAGGAUACUCCUCUUCUUCACUAAGUAAGUAACAGAAACAUUGAAUUUAUAAUCCAUAUUGUUAGAUUUUGUAAACAAAAAAUAAUAAUAAUUACUUAUUAGUUAACACAAAGAUGGCUCAUUAGGCCUACUGAUUUUCUGGAGUUAAGAUAUCCAACUACCCAGACUGCAAAACAAGUAGCAGUUUAAGUGAACAUGUAAGUGUGUCCAGCCCUGUUCAGUUAAGGAUACAUCUCUCCUCUUCACCCCUAAUUGUGUAUUUCAGAUGCUGUCACAUCCUACAACCUCACCAUCUGCAGAGAGAAACUUCCUCUCAAUCACACCCAAAUCACACAUAAUGAUGGACUUACAGGCAUCAUAGAGAAUUAUGAAAUGACAGUAUUUCACUCGAACUUGGUCUUCAUUUCUCUAUUUCCAGUUUCUAUUUUGUUUUACUUCGUUAUGCAUUUAUUUAUGUUCAAUUUGAAUUGUCAUUUAUUCAUGUAUUCUGCUAAUACAUUCUGCUAACUGUUGUCAGAGCACUGUCAUUUUUGCUAUAAAUGUACAUCAUUAAAAAAAAAAAAAAAAAGUACCUAGCUGACAUGUUGUUGUUGUUGUUGUUUUUAUGUAAAACCCUAACAGACAUUGCAUGAUAUUGUAAUACCUGGCAGAUAGAGAGGUAAAAAACAAUAUUAAUUAAUAUUACAUACUGUACAGAUCAUAUUAAUAAUGAUACAAAUAUGUUAAUAAACUAAUAUAAAUAAAAAUAAACUAUCAUUAAAAAUGUUAUUUAUAAAACCAUUGAUUUCCUAUAUAGCAUUUUCAAAGCAUGGUUCUUUAUAGAACCC